CGGAACGGGUGAGUAAUGCGUGACCAACCUGCCCCAUGCUCCAGAAUAGCUCUUGGAAACGGGUGGUAAUGCUGGAUGCUCCAACUUGACGCAUGUCUUGUUGGGAAAGUGUUUAGUGGCAUGGGAUGGGGUCGCGUCCUAUCAGCUUGUAGGCGGGGUAAUGGCCCACCUAGGCUUCGACGGGUAGCCGGCCUGAGAGGGCGGACGGCCACAUUGGGACUGAGAUACGGCCCAGACUCCUACGGGAGGCAGCAGUU
rnacentral:rRNA from 1 species